rnacentral:lncRNA from 1 species
AUUUGUAUUGGAUGGCUGAAAUACAUUAAAAUAAUCCAUUUGAAAAAGCACAAAAGGGUAGAAUUGGAAAUCUGAUGGUAUGAAAAUUGAAUUUGGCGGUUUCAUUUUUCAUCUUUUUUCAGUUUCGUUCUGAGCAUUGUUCUUCUCUCCCAUUCUCCCAUUCGCAUCUCUCCCAUUCGCCCUGUCUCCAUUCUCCUCUCCCAUUCGCUUUUCCCAUUCGGCCUCUCUCCAUUCGCCUGUCCCAUUCGCGUCUCUCCCAUUCUGAGCAUCCUUCGUCUCUCCAUUCGGGUGGCUUUGUUCAUCGAAAGGCGUCAUCUCAAGGAAAAGUGGUCUUUUUCAUUGACUCUGUACCGGUAAGUUUUCUUUUGCGUUUUGGGUGCGUUUGGCGUUGUGGGUGUGUUCCCUUUAACGUUUUCUUUCGCGUUUGGCCUUUUGGGUGUGUUUUGCUAUGUGGCUCUGUUUCUUGUUUUGGGUGGGCUCUGUUUCUUGUUUUGGGUGGAACCAUAGUUC